CCCUGGGUAGUGUAAAGAGUUAAGCACUUGGCUACCAACCAAAUGGUUGGUGGUUCAAAUCCACCCAGAGGUG
rnacentral:tRNA from 1 species